UACAGAGGUCUCAAGCGUUGUUCGGAUUCAUUGGGCGUAAAGGGUGCGUAGGUGGCGCGGUAAGUCGGGUGUGAAAUUCGUGACUUAACUCCGAAACUGCAUUCGAUACUGCGUGCUUGAGGACUGGAGAGGAGACUGGAAUUUAUGGUGUAGCGUGAAAUGCGUAGAUAUCAUAGGAAGACCAGUGGCGAAGGCGGGUCUCUGGACAGUUCCUGACGCUGAGGCACGAAGGCCAGGGGGAGCAAAACGGG
rnacentral:rRNA from 1 species